ensembl:misc_RNA 7SK 7SK RNA
GGAUAUGAGGGCAAUCUGGCUGUGACAUCUGUCACCCCACUGAUCGCCAGGGUUGAUUCGGCUGAUCUGGCUGGCUGGGUGGAUGUCCCCUUCCUCCCUCACGGCUCCAUGUGCAUCCUUCCCGAAGCUGCGAGCUUGGUCAAAGAGAACAACCAUCCCUGAGGAGGAGGACCGUUCUUCUUGGUCAAGGGUAUACGAGUAGCUGCGCUCCCCUGCUAGAACCUCCAAACAAGCUCUCUAGUGUACCAGUUGAUGAGUUUUGACAAAAGAAUAUCCCUGUGUAACUCAUACCAAUCAUGAUCUAGAUCA